AAAAGAAGUAAAAGGAUUGGAGUGAAGUGCGCUUGAAAAGUAGAGGGACUGUGCGAGGAAAUAGACCGUCAAACAAAAUGCGCGGAUCCUUCCCCCGGGUAGGGUCACCGCACGAAUACCAGCCCCUCACGACGUCAUUUUGAGACCAUCAAACUUGGUCUCAAACGACGCCAUUUUUCACCAUAUAAAAACUAAAAUAAACCCUAGCCUAAGCAGACUCCUCCCCUUUUUUAAAAAAGAAAAGAAAAAAACUAAUAGAGAUGUCCCCCCUCGCAGCAUCUGAGGAUCGACUGCUCAGGGGACCCUCAGCCUCGCCCGACCCCAAUUACGACGGAGCGAACGGAGACCAGGUAAGCCUCUCACUUCAUUCCUUUCUCUUCUUUUAAAAUUUUUUUUAAGUAAAAAACAAAUCG
rnacentral:lncRNA from 1 species